rnacentral:rRNA from 1 species
CCUACGGGUGGCAGCAGUCGAGAAUCAUUCACAAUGGGGGAAACCCUGAUGGGGCGACGCCGCGUGGGGGAAUGAAGGGCUGCGGAUUGUAAACCCCUGUCAUGUGGGAGCAAAUUAAAAAGAUAGGACCACAAGAGGAAGAGACGGCUAACGCUGUGCCAGCAGCCGCGGUAAUACAGAGGACUCAAGCGAUGUUCGGAACCACUGGGCGUAAAGCGUGCGGAGGCUGUUUCGUAAGUCGUGUGUGAAAGGCGCGGGCUCAACCCGCGGACGGCACAGGAUACUGCGAGACUAGAGUAAUGGCGGGGGAACCGGACUUCUCGGUGUAGCCGUGACAUGCGUAGAUAUCGAGAGG